rnacentral:tRNA from 1 species
GCUAUGAUGGUUCAGUGGUAGAAUUCUCACCUUCCGUGAAGGAGAUCUGGGUUCCAUUCCCAGUCAGGGCA